rnacentral:lncRNA from 1 species
ACCCGCGCCCUGCGUCGGAGCCCUUGGACUUGCCUCGCGCGGCGAGGUUGUGCUGGUCUGCAAGGCCGAGCCCCUUCCCUAGGAUGGGAAAAGUCUCAGAGACAGCAGAUGAUGUCCCUGUGGUCUCAGGUCGUCCAGUAGGUGGGUGAACUGGGACUUGAAAUCAGGUCUGAUGUCCAGAUCUGCUCCUGACUGCUAUGGUACAGUGUCAUAAGUGAGUUUUGGCUUCUGGUCUACCUGAAGGCUGCCGUCUUUAGUGAAGUGUGGGCUUAACAGAGUGCAAAUACCACUCUACUUUGUGUUUUCAGAAAACAAAGGAUGGCCAAGCUCAUGGACUCUAGUGAUACAAGUUGGAUGGAUAUUGAUGAAAUGGUCAAAAGAGCCCCACAGUGGAUGUGUUAUCUUGGGCAAAUGGCUAAACCUCUCUCGGUUUCCUCAAGUGUUGGUGUCUCCUUCAUAGGGUGUUUGUAAAUAAAUGAAAUAAUGAGUAUGAAAGCUAUUACCCAAUGCCUGGCACACAGUGAAUGUUUGAUAACUGGAAAGAACACUAAUUUUUAGAUUGAAUGGAUCCCAUUUAGAAAAACAAAAUAUUUUAGAGUUGCAUUUUUUAAUGAAAAGAAAA